rnacentral:rRNA from 1 species
GCUCAGGACGAACGCUGGCGGCGUGCUUAACACAUGCAAGUCGAGCGGUAAGGCCCUUUCGGGGGUACACGAGCGGCGAACGGGUGAGUAACACGUGGGUGACCUGCCCUCCACUCUGGGAUAAGCCCGGGAAACUGGGUCUAAUACCGGAUAGGACCACUGAUCGCAUGGUUGGUGGUGGAAAGUUUUUUCGGUGGGGGAUGGGCCCGCGGCCUAUCAGCUUGUUGGUGGGGUGAUGGCCUACCAAGGCGGUGACGGGUAGCCGGCCUGAGAGGGCGACCGGCCACACUGGGACUGAGACACGGCCCAGACUCCUACGGGAGGCAGCAGUGGGGAAUAUUGCGCAAUGGGCGGAAGCCUGACGCAGCGACGCCGCGUGGGGGAUGACGGCCUUCGGGUUGUAAACCUCUUUCGCCAGGGACGAAGAGCAAUUGACGGUACCUGGAGAAGAAGCACCGGCCAACUA